rnacentral:lncRNA from 1 species
AAGAAGGAUGUGAGGAUGCUGCGCUUCAUCCAGGAAGUGAACACCACCACCCGCUCAUGCGCCCUCUGGGACCUGGAGGAGGACACGGAGUACAUCGUGCAUGUGCAGGCCAUCUCCAUUCAGGGACAGAGCCCAGCCAGCGAGCCCGUGCUCUUCAAGACCCCUCGAGAGGCUGAGAAGAUGGGCUCCAAGAACAAAGAUGAGGUGACCAUGAAGGAGAUGGGAAGGAACCAACAGCUGCGGACAGGUGAGGUGCUGAUCAUCGUGGUGGUCCUGUUCAUGUGGGCAGGUGUCAUUGCCCUCUUCUGCCGCCAGUAUGACAUUAUUAAGGACAACGAACCCAAUAACAACAAGGAGAAAACUAAGAGUGCAUCUGAAACCAGCACUCCUGAGCACCAGGGCGGGGGGCUCCUCCGCAGCAAGUUUCCAAACAAGCCCUCAAUGAACAUCAUUGAAGCAUGACUGCCUGUCUGAAGAGAGAAAGAUUUCAUUUUUCCUUGCUGGUCCCCAGGUCCUGGGCACAGGGAGAGGGCCGACUGCAUCAAGGGAGGAGGCACAACAAGCUGCAGUUCUCUCUCUUCCCUCUUAGUCUGAUGAAAGAGCCUGAACUACAAACCCAAAUUCUGCAAAAAAUAAUAAAAAGCCACAAAACUAAAAGGCCUGGCCCCAUCCUAGAAAAGGCAAAGCUGCAUGAAACAGCCUUCUGCCUCCUCACCUCUCCUGGACUGGCCUCCUCUUUGAGAAAAUGCACAACGCUCUGGGAAAUGACAGGCUCUAAGAUUGACUCAUGCUGUGUCUUUUAGACCAGGGAGCAUCGGAGGAGGAUGCUGUGGAGCUGCCUGCUGUGCAGGGACAUGGCUGUCAUCAAGCCUUUUCUGGAUGUAGCCAUCAGAGACUUGUUUGGGGUGUGAUACACACCCUUGUGAGUGUGUAAGAUGUUGCCUGUUUUGUCUCUUGAAAAACAAAACUGGAGGGCUCCGUUCCAGAGGGCAGAGGAUUCUUCCAGGACUUGAGCUGGUUGCCUACAUCCUAUCUUCUUUGACAUUUACUUUGAUGGUGAGAUCAUCACUCUGGGGUUUUAAGAAGACCUGGAAGGUAUUGGCCCUGUUUUCUAAGGAAGCAUCUCUUGGAGUUUGAGCAGAGCCAGCUGGAGCAACUGAAAAGGCACAUCCACAUUUUAUAUCCUGGGGACUGCUGACCCACUCACUGUGGAGUGGAAGUUGCUGGAAAGCAGGCCUGAGCCAUUCACCACAGACAGGCAGAGCAGCCUGGCUGUCACAACUAACUAGGGUCUUCAUAUCUUACUAUCUCAUCAGGAUUCUGUGAAAGUUACCCAGGGUCCUCAUGUCCUUCCCUAGAGCCUGAGUGGUAUGGUUUCUCUCUCCACUUCCCCUUUCUGGUUAAAAACAAACAAACAAUGGUGCUUGAUGAGGGAAGGCAGACUCUUCCCUGUGACUGAUGUGUUACAGCUGCCAAAUGCCUGCAUGGGAAGAGGUGGACUCUGCAUCUUCCAUUGGUGGCCAAGAAGGGGGCAGUGGAGGAUGUGCCUAGCACAAGCCUGAUACACAGUAGGCACUUGGUAAAUAUUUGCUGUGCUGAAUGUUAAGAGCACUGGCACCCAAGACAGAGAGCUGAAAGCCAUCACCCAAUGACUGCCCCUUCCUUCCAUUCUUAAGAGCUCUCUGCUUCAGCUAAGUGUGGCAGGCAGCACAGGGGAGGAGAGACGGUACAAGGCAGAUGUCAGCAAUACAAAGGGCUUCCUCAUGGGGAGGGCAUGAGGCUCCACUCAUUGUCUUGUGACUUCUAUCCCUGCUGAAUGGGGCUGUGGGGUCAAGGCUCCGUAAGGGAGAGGUCCUUACCUCUGAUCCAGUUAGAGCAAUAACCACUUUUUAACUGUAAAAUAAAAAGACAAAUGAAAAGGCACAUCCUUGUCUUCUGGUAAAUGCCCAAACGUUGCCCUCUUUUUCUGGCACUUGGCAGCAAGUCAGGAUGUGUGGAGGAGGGAAUCAGUUCUCUCUUCCAUUUUGGCCUGCAGUUUCUUAGGGACAUGCCUGCCAGCCAAGCUGGAGUUGGAAGGGAAUUCUCGAACAGAUGGGGGUGCACGUGUAGGAGAAGAAAAUAGCUGUUCUAUCAUCCUCUUUCUGAGGCUCUCCCAAACCCAGCUUGGGCUGUCUCACUGCAUAGGUAUGCAGGCUGGUGCUGUUUUUAAAAACAAAGGGUUUUCCCCUCUGGAUGGGGGUGCGUGCUUUCCCUGGCCAAAGGAAUGCAAUCCCCCCUACCUCCCACCCCGGUAAGGAAGGAGUUAAAAGGAUCUACAAGGGGUGUUCAGUAUUCAUAGCCACAGUUCUGGGCUGUUAAAGAACAUCACUAUGAUCUUAACAGCAAGCUAAAAGGCAGAGAGUAAUGAUGCCAUUAGCCAGUGAGCAAACCAGUAAAUGGGGCACCUCAAACAUUCUUAUCCAGAGCCAGGAAGGCCUUGGAUAGAAAAUGUCAGAUGAGCAUGGAUCAGAGUAGGCUAUUCAAAAGGUUCUGGAAGUGAAGGGAAAACAGUAAACUGAGGAGCACACAGAACUCUAAGCCAAACCUCCAUGAGGAUACUUACUAGGCCUAAAUGAGGGAGAAGCCCUCAAGCCAGGAUUAGGCAGAGGUAGUUGUCAGUGAGGCUUGGGGAACUGUGCUAAUGGGGGUUUCCUGUCUUUAGUUUCAUCUGUGUCUGUGAUAGAGGAGCAAAUGAUAGGCCUAACUUAAACUCCAUUCCUUCAUUGUCUCUCCCAAAACAACUAUUUGCAAAUUCAAACCCUGCAGCUAUGACUUAUUUUUGUGGUGCUUUCACCAGGCUCACAAGAAUCCGCAGAGAUUCCUCACAACUCGGGAAGCCACAGGCAGUCUGAGACCAGGCAAACAAGCCUGUGGGAGGAAUGCUGGACUGAGAGGAAGGAGACUGCAGGCAUCUACUUAACACCUGUCACUUCCCUGAGGCUGGCCUUCCUUGCCUUUCUACCAAAAAAGGGUUAAAAGAGAGGAUAACCAGUCACACGCUUCCUGGAGCAUGGACAAGGAGUGUCCUAGAAGUGAGAUGGGGUUUGAGGGGAGUACAAACUGGUGGAUAUUUCUGUGGGGCAGGAUUCCUUUUCUCCUACUCCUGUUUCCUCAGCCCCAAGCUUCUCAGUAUAGGCCUCUUCUAGAAUCCAUUUUUAAAGAUCUCUAAUUCACCCUUUUACAGCAAUAUGUAAUAUCUCACCAAUCCAUUAUAUUUUAGACUUCUACUGUCUCUCUUCAAACCUAUUUGACAAUUUUUGGAUCUUGGUUUUUAAGAAGUAGCCUCCAAGAACAAAUUGCUUCUAUAAAUGGGAGAUUCUGCCUCCCUCAAUUCCAGCUGCAACAGCUUAAAAAAAAAAAAUCCAUAAAUGUGGUUUGGAGCUAAAUUGAAGAUCUUUGUAUACAAAUGGUCUCUUGAUAAACUUCAGGGCUAUCAUUUAGACUUAAUGUGAUCCAAAAGAUCACAUUCUAAACCAGGGACAAGGUGGCACACACCUAUAAGGUUAGCCUGAGUAACUCUGUGAGAUAGUGAUUCAAAAAAAUAUAAUGGGGGCCAGGAAUUUAGCCAAGUGGUGCCACUGCCUGCCUUGGAAGUGGCAAGGUGGAGUUGGAUCCCCGGUACCACAAAUAAACUAAAUAAAAUGGACUGGGGCUAUAACUCAGUGCUCCCUGGGUUCUAUCCCUAAUACCACCCCCCACCCCCAAUCAUAUUCCAUCUUCUUCUCAAUGGGGGCUGGGAAGGGCCAGAUUUUCUGUCUAUGGCAUGUACCAGUUACAGGGGGAGAACAGGAAGGGAGGAAUGAUAAGGCAAGUUUAUUCAUUAAGGCAUUCCAAUAGUGACCAGCUGACACUUCCUGUGACAAAUGAGAAUUUUUUCCUGACAGGUGUUCUGGCAGACAAACCAAGCAUACCCUGGACUCGUCUUAGGGAUAAAUCUGUCUUCUCUAAGAAAAGCAGAACAACACAAAGAGAAGCAGGGAACUCUGCUUUCUAGUUUUAGAUGGUUUUGUUUUCCUAUAAAAGCUCAAAAUGGCCUUGUUAGAGAAUGAGUCUCAUUCCUUUUAAAGAUGGUCCAUUUUCCCCUUUCAUCUCAUUUUCCCAUAAAAUGAACUGAGGGUAGGGGACACUAUUAUUUCAGAGAAUUCAGCCUGAUCUCUGAAAACUUUUUUUUUUUGGUACCAGGGAUUGAACUCAGGUCCUCGCGCUUGCACAGCAGGCGGCGAAGCCACUGAGCUAAAUCCCUAGCCCUCUGAAAACUUUUGAUGCCUACAGUAGUAACACAUUGCUAAAAAGGAAAUAAUUACCAGACAGAUGAUCAUCAACACCUGGCA